ACAGCAGUCGCCGCGGGAAUACGAAGGGUGCAAGCGUUACUCGGAAUUACUGGGCGUAAAGCGUGCGUAGGUGGUGGUUUAAGUCCGUUGUGAAAGCCCUGGGCUCAACCUGGGAAUUGCAGUGGAUACUGGGUCACUAGAGUGUGGUAGAGGAUAGUGGAAUUUCCGGUGUAGCAGUGAGAUGCAUAGAUAUCGGGAGGAACAUCAGUGGCGAAGGCGGCCAUCUGGGACAACACUGACGCUGAGGCACGAAAGCGUGGGGAGCAAACAGGAUUAGAUACCCCUGUAGUCCCUGUCUCUUAUAC
rnacentral:rRNA from 1 species